rnacentral:rRNA from 1 species
UACGUAGGGGGCAGGCGUUGUCCGGAUUUAUUGGGCGUAAAGAGCGUGUAGGCGGCCAGAUAGGUCCGUUGUGAAAACUCGAGGCUCAACCUCGAGACGCCGAUGGAAACCAUUUGGCUAGAGUCCGGAAGAGGAGAGUGGAAUUCCUGGUGUAGCGGUGAAAUGCGCAGAUAUCAGGAAGAACACCCGUGGCUAAGGCGGCUCUCUAGUACGGUACUGACGCUGAGACGCGAAAGCGUGGGGAGCGAACAGG